rnacentral:rRNA from 1 species
CCUACGGGGGGCAGCAGUGAGGAAUAUUGGUCAAUGGGCGGGAGCCUGAACCAGCCAAGCCGCGUGAGGGAAGAAGGUACAGCGUAUCGUAAACCUCUUUUGUCAGGGAACAAAGGCGGGGACUAGUCCCCGGAUGAGGGUACCUGAAUAAAAAGCAUCGGCUAACUCCGUGCCAGCAGCCGCGGUAAUACGGAGGAUGCGAGCGUUAUCCGGAUUUAUUGGGUUUAAAGGGUGCGCAGGCGGCCUGUUAAGUCAGCGGUAAAAGCCCGGGGCUCAACCCCGGCGAGCCGUUGAAACUGGCGGGAUGGAGGUGGAGAGAAGUAUGCGGAAUGCGCGGUGGAGAGGUGAAAUGCAUAGAUAUCGCGCAGAACCCCGAUUGCGAAGGCAGCGUGCCGGCUCCACACUGACGCUGAGGCACGAAAGCGUGGGUAUCGAACAGGAUUAGAUACCCGAGUAGUC